rnacentral:rRNA from 1 species
GACGAACGCUGGCGGCGUGCUUAACACAUGCAAGUCGAACGGUGAAGCUCCAUCUUGCUGGAGUGGAUCAGUGGCGAACGGGUGAGUAACACGUGAGCAACCUGCCCCUGACUCUGGAAUAAGCGCUGGAAACGGCGUCUAAUACUGGAUACGAGAAGGGUCCGCAUGGGCACUUUCUGGAAAGUUUUUCGGUUGGGGAUGGGCUCGCGGCCUAUCAGCUUGUUGGUGAGGUAAUGGCUCACCAAGGCGACGACGGGUAGCCGGCCUGAGAGGGCGACCGGCCACACUGGGACUGAGACACGGCCCAGACUCCUACGGGAGGCAGCAGUGGGGAAUAUUGCACAAUGGGCGAAAGCCUGAUGCAGCGACGCCGCGUGAGGGAUGACGGCCUUCGGGUUGUAAACCUCUUUCAGCAGGGAAGAAGCGAAAGUGACGGUACCUGCAGAAGAAGCACCGGCUAACUACGUG